GGAUGUGAGGGCAAUCUGGCUGUAGAAUCUGUCACCUCAUUGAUCGCCAAGGUUGAUUCGGCUGAUCUGUGUGGCUAGGCGGGUGUCCCCUUCCUCCCUCACUGCUUCACCUGUGUCCUUGGACUCCAGAUGCGUCCAAAUGAGGCGCUAGAUGGGGCGGUCUGCCUUUCUUU
rnacentral:snRNA from 1 species